AAUUAUUCAUUACACAGGUGUCCAGCAGACAGUUGACUAUACAAGGGUGUAGAAAACCCCUUCCCAUUUCAUGUUGUUAGCAAUGGCACCACAUGGAAGAGAAAUGUCUCAAGGGUUAGGGUUAGGGUCUCAAGAAAAUAAUUUGGUGAAUGCUACAAGAAGAUCAGCAAAGCUUUACUUAUCAGUCAGAAUACUGUAGCAAAAGUGGUACAAAAACUUAAAAAAGAUGGAACUGCAACCAUCUCACAGAGACGUCCAGGACGUCCACGGAAGUUAACACCUCCACAGAAGCGUCCUAUGAUGAGAAGGGUCGAAGAAAUUCAGCAUGCAAGUUCACUGCAGUUAUCCAAGGAAGUAGAAAGCCUGUAGAAACUGGGGUGACUACUGAGGUAUCACAUUCUGAUUUUUGAGUUUAUUUAGUUUAGAUUGAAUGAUGAUUAAUUGUUUUCCCUUUUGUGAGUUAAUGCAGACAGAGUGAGGCUCACAGCUUCAGGGGUCCGAGUAGUUUUUCAACUGUGUGAGUGCUAAAGGUUAGCAGGCGGCAGGCCAUCAUAAAGUAAAACCUGAGAUUGGCCCACACGCCAAAUGGUGGGAAAUGCUCAAACGUUUAUGUUCCCAUAGAGGGGCAGGAAACCCAUUUGGGUCAUUUUGGGGACAAGACAUGAAGUUGACCGCAGCCAUGUUAGAUGAGUUACAGGGGAGACAGGUCAACUCCUCGUUUAGUCUAUUGGAUCAUUUACCAAAGUGACCAAUUAGGAGAAGUGGGUGUGAACUGGGAAAGGGACUCUAAAAACCCUUGCAUAGGAAGAGAAGGAGGUUUGGCACUUGGUAGAACUCCUAAGAUCAAAGGCUGAUAGGAGUUCUAGUAGGGCAGAGGGCAAAGCACUUUGGCCUUGCUUUUGAGAACGUCAGAAUGCAAUUCUUAUUCGGACGCUGGCAUCUGUUUCAAUAAAGAUUGCUCCAUCAUUCCACCCAGCCUUGCUUCUUUUAGCCUUAAGAUUCUUUGUGAAUACAGGCCCUGGUUCUCUUACUUUGCAAAAUGCAUGGAAAUAAAAAUACUGGACACCAUAAAAAUGGUCUUGGUUCAUUGGAGUGAUAUAAAAGAUUGUGUGUGAAAUUCGAAUAAUUAAAGGCCAAAUGAGCUGUUUGGUUUUUUUCUUGAUCAGGAGAGAGCCACCUCUCCUUUUGGAUGAGUACAGCGUUGGAUUGGUACAGCAUGUUUACACAGCCAUGAAGAGAAUCUAGAGGAGGCUCUUGUUGCAGUCUUCGGAAGAGUGUGAGCAGUAUGUUACUGAGAUAGAUGUUACCAGCAAUGAGGAUUCAUCUGAAAGCCAGGAGGGAUCAGGGAGGAAUUCCUGCCAGGCACAGAGGGGUCUUUCAGCUUUGAGGAGGAAGAGGAUGAAGAGGUGGAGGGGGAGGAGGAGGAAGAAGAGGAGGAAGAGGCAAUGGAGGAUGGCACUUCUUCAUGGAGAUCCAGAAAUGGGAAACUCCUGUGGUCUCCCACACAUGAAGAGUCGCUGCCAUUCUUUCCCCCUCCUAUCUUGACCCCAGGGCCGACGUACUACACACUUGCCAGGAUCAGCAGCCCUGAGACGGCAUUUGACCUUUUUUCACUGGCGACAUCCUGCAGCUAAUUCUGCACAUCACAAUCUGCAGGGGAGGAGGUCAGUAAAUUAAUGGAUAGAUUUGAGUGAGGAGGAGGAGAUGCGGGCCUACCUUUGGGCUGCUGAUUUUGGCAGGCAUGUUCAGGUCACAGCAUGAGUCAAACAAGAGCCUGUGGGACAAUGAAACGGGACGUGCAAUUUUUGCUGCAACAAUGUCCCAGAAGAGAUUUUUGCAGAUCAAUCUGGCUGUGCGGUUCGAUGACAGACUGUCCGGCCAGACCGCAGCAAAAGAGACAAGCUGGCUCUGAUCAAGGACCUGUGGAGCAGAUGGAGCACCCGCCUCCCUGUGCUGUUUAACCCAGGGAGGGACACAUGCAUUGGUUAAAAUGCUCCACGAUAAGCCGCCAUCUUGGUCUGCGGUCCCAUAGCGCCCCCAGAGCAAUCUUUAUUGAAACAGGUCUCAAGCCUGCGUCCGAAUAGAGUGUGGCCGCACUCUGGUAGUCUCAAAUCUAUGACAAAGUAAUGCCAAAAUGCUUUGCCCUCUGCUCUAGCAGAAAUCCUAUCGAGCCUUCAAUCAAUCUACCAGUUACCACCACCCUCUCUCUGGUGUGCGGGCCUUUUUAAAGUCUAUUGUCCAUACCACCCACUUCCCCUAAUUGGUCACUUUGGUGGAUUAUACGUGCCUCGCACCCCCUAUGAAAUAACUCUUGUGUGUAUUACUUAACUUUGCUGAUAUCAGCUGAAGUGGACAGGAUGGUCUCUCUAUAAUUAGAUGACAAUGUAUACAUUGAGUCAGUUCCAAACCUCUAGUGUGGGCCCCUUCCUGUAGCUUGUCUUUAAGGACAACCCCAGGGUUGAUUGACAGCUCCUGGACAUGUGGACCAUUACAUUGUCCCAUUCCCACACUUACCUACAGGGAAUCGUCUGGUCCUGUCCCAUCCUGUCCUGUCACUAUUCACUAUUGUCUUAGAGCUCAGGAUGUGUAAGAAACACACAGACACUACAGUUGCUUACUAGCUCAAACUGUUGAAGUUGGAAAUAUAGAAAUAGAAUGGGGAGGCUCAAGGAGAAGAGAGCCACAGACCCUGAUGGCAUCAACUCCAGAGUGUUAAAGGACUGUGCAGACCAGCUCUGUGGGGUGGUCACCCACAUCUUGAACCUGAGCAUGACUCUGGAGACAGUUCCUGUUCUGUAGAAGGCUUCUGUGUGGUCCCAGUUCCAAAGUCUGCAAACCCCAUAAAGCCUGGCCACUUACGCCCUGUUGCCUUAACUUCUCACCUGAUGAAGACCAUGGAGAGGAUUAUUCUCAGGCACAUCCGUACCCAUGUGAGGACAAUGCUGGACCCCCUUCAGUUCGCUUACUGUCACAGAAUGGGGGUGGUUAUCGAAGUCAUCUACUCACUGCACAGAACAAUUACAAACCUGGAGAACACUGGACGCACUGUGGGGCUCAUGUUUUUUGACUUGUCCAGUGAUUUCAAUACAAUACAGCCAGCACUUCUCAGGGGGAAACUGGGAAUAUGUUCAACGACUUUGUUAACUUGUGUGAAUGCAACCACCUACAUAUGAACACCAGUAAAACCAAGUAAAUGAUAAUCAGCUUCCAAAGGAAGACAACCGCAGAUCAUGCUAUUGAACAUCCAGGUUUGGACAUAGAGAUGGUGUCAAAUUGGUGGUGUGAAAUUAAAACAUGUGCCAAUGUGAUGACAUUACUGACAUUUUGCACAUCUCAUUCUGAUAGGAGACUGUCAAAAUAAGGCUGCAGUGUCUUGUCUGAAUGAUCACCACCCUGUUGUUCUCACCUCCCCAGUCUGAUUAAGUGUUUUGAGUAACUCGUGUUCCAGAACACCAAAGACAUCCCUGCCACCUGGACCCUCACAGCUAUAUGCUUUCAAAACCAACAGAUCUACAUAGGAUUCUAUAUUCACUGCCCUGCAGUCAGUCUUCACACAACCAAAGAAUAAAAACAGCUACAUCAGGA